rnacentral:lncRNA from 1 species
UGUUUGUAUUUUAGUGCUAUAUGUGUGCUAUAUUAUUCUGAGAUUUUAAAGAAAUUGCCACUUUAUUUUUUCAUAUAAUAAUUAUAGAUUUUUCUGUGUUUGAUAACUUAUUUUUAUAACAAUAGUAUUUCAACACAAACUUAGUCUAUUCACCACUUUUAGGUAUAAAUCAUAGUCUAUCACCACUUUCAGGUAUAAAUCAUAGUCUAUUCACCACUUUAGGUAUAAAUCAUAGUUUAUGCACCACUUUAGGUAUAAAUCUUAGUCUAUUCACCACUUUAGGUAUAAAUCAUAGUUUAUUCACCACUUUAGGUAUAAAUCUUAGUCUAUUCACCACUUUAGGUAUAAAUCUUAGUUUAUUCACCACUUUAGGUAUAAAUCAUAGUUUAUUCACC